rnacentral:tRNA from 1 species
GCCGCCAUAGUUCAGUCGGCCAGACCGUGGGCCUAACAAGCCCGAGGUCGCAGGUUCGACCACUGCUGUAGCA